GGACGAACGCUGGCGGCGUGCCUAACACAUGCAAGUCGAACGGGGAUUUGUUUCGGCAGAAUCCUAGUGGCGAACGGGUGAGUAACGCGUAGGCAACCUGCCCUCCGGCCGGGGACAACACUCCGAAAGGGGUGCUAAUACCGGAUACGAAGUCUGUGCCGCAUGGUACGGAUUUGAAAGAUGGCCUCUAUUUAUAAGCUAUCGCCGGGGGAUGGGCCUGCGUCCGAUUAGCUGGUUGGUGGGUAACGGCCUACCAAGGCGACGAUCGGUAGCCGGUCUGAGAGGAUGAACGGCCACAUUGGGACUGAGACACGGCCCAGACUCCUACGGGAGGCAGCAGUGGGGAAUCUUCCGCAAUGGGCGCAAGCCUGACGGAGCAACGCCGCGUUGAGUGAGGAAGUUCUUCGGAACGUAAAGCUCUGUUGUUCCUGACGAACCUCCCCUUUAUCAACAACGGAGGGGACUGACGGUAGGGAACGAGGAAGCCACGGCUAACUACGUGCCAGCCGCAGC
rnacentral:rRNA from 1 species